AUGAACUUAUUAAGUUAUAUUAAUACCAUAAUCGGGUGUUCAAGUAAUUACCAUUCAAGUCUCAAGCUUCCGGCAACCACUUAUCCCAAGGUAGGUGGGAAAUUAAUUCCGGAUGGAGCAAUAAUAUUAAAUUUAAAAAUUUUCUUUCUAGGCUUCGGCGUAUGUAGAUUCGGCAAAUGUUUCCACAUCUCGGAUCCUAGGUUCACACUCUAG